GCUUACCGGCACACCUCCCUGAGACCCGCGAUCUCGUCUGAUCUCGGAAGCUAAGCAGGGUCGGGCCCGGUAGUACUUGGAUGGGAGACCGCCUGGGAAUACCAGUGCUGUAAGCC
rnacentral:rRNA from 1 species